CCUACGGGUGGCAGCAGUGAGGAAUAUUGGUCAAUGGGCGCGAGCCUGAACCAGCCAAGUCGCGUGAGGGAAGACGGUCCUAUGGAUGGUAAACCUCUUUUGUCGGGGAGCAAAAGACGCCACGUGUGGCGUUCCGAAAGUACCCGAGGAAAAAGCAUCGGCUAACUCCGUGCAAGCGGCCGCGGGAAUACGGAGGAUGCGAGCGUUAUCCGGAUUGAUUGGGUUGAAAGGGUGCGUAGGCGGAAGAUGAAGUGAUCGGUAAAAUUGAGGGGCUCAACCUCUUCGAGCCGUUGAAACUGGUGUUCUUGAGUGUGCGAGAGGUAUGCGGAAUGCGUGGUGUAGCGGUGAAAUGCAUAGAUAUCACGCAGAACUCCGAUUGCGAAGGCAGCAUACCGGCGCUCAACUGACGCUCAUGCACGAAAGUGUGGGUAUCGAACAGGAUUAGAUACCCGUGUAGUC
rnacentral:rRNA from 1 species